rnacentral:lncRNA from 1 species
GAAGAUGUAGAACUCUCACCUCCUCCAGCAUCAUGCCUGCCUGGAUGCUGCCAUGCUUCCUGCCUUGAUGAUACUGGACUGAACCUCAGAAUCUAAGCCCUUUUCCAGCUGACAGAAAGAAAGGCAGACCCCAUCCCUGCUGGAUCUCACACCCUGCACUACUAUGCAAUGCAGAAACCUCUGGAAACAAAGGCACUUCAAACACUGCUGUUGAGAAAGUGUCUGACUGGCCACAUACCGUUUCUAAGACAAAUGAUUUCCAAUCUGUUGCUUUAUUCUAGCUUUGUAUAUUUCAGCAAAACCAGACUCCUUCCAAAAUCUUAGAAACACAUAUUUUUAAGAAGAAGAAGAAGAAGAAGAAGAAGAAGAAGAAGAAGAAGAAGAAGGAGAAGAAGAAGAAGAAGAAGAAGAAGAAGAAGAAGAAGAAGAAGAAGAAGAAGAAGAAGAAGAAGAAGAAGAAGAAGCAUAGAUUCAAGUUAACUGAAAUAUAAUUAUUUCCCAUUGAGACCCAAGUGGAGAUGUGCGGGACUGAGUGGUGCUUACAGAAGAAAUCCCAGUUUCUUCCACUAGCACUGCAACAAAAUAUCAAAAUUGUGGCUGGCUCAACUCAGCUGUUCUGGCUCAAACUCCUCUCCAAGCUGACUGAUUCAAUUUGGCUUCUCUCAGCUUUUGACUGGAUUGUUCUGCUUGGAAAGACUGCCUUUCAACUCCACAAACUCCACUGAACUAAACAGCUCUGAACCAAACUGAGCAAAACUGAAUUGAACUGAACAGAACUGAACUGAACUGAACUGAACUGAACUGAACUGAACUGAACUGAACUGAACUGAACUGAACUCUCUCUCCCUCACUACUCUUUAAGUAGCCUCUCUUUCCUCUCUGUUGGCUGGCUAUCUGUUUCCUCAUGAGUUGGGCUUAUCCUAUCUCUAACACAUUCUGUCAAAUCUUUCUCUGAUUUAUCACUUUGUCUACCCCUCAAUUAGACAUCACUUAUUGUUUAGAACUAAUGGUGUGUACUAAAGGCAUAUCUGCAUUCCAGUCCAAGGGAUUAAGGAUGUGUCCAAAAUGUUAUGUAAUCCCUUGCCAGAACAUCCAUGUUGCUGGAUUAAAAUUCCUCUACAUCUUCCUCCUUUCUGUUUAACCUAAAAAUUAUAUACAGUUUAACUAUUACAAUGGGCUUUUAACUAAAAGUGCUCCAAACAGAGAGGGAAGGCAAGUAAGCCUAAACAGACAAACGACUACUAAUGUUCCAUGAUGUUUAACAACCAACUAUCAAGACUUGGCAAACCUAACUGGAAGGUGGUCAUGCAUGACUUUAAUCCCAGUACUGUAGAGGCAGAGGCCAGAGGAUCUCUGUGAGUUCAAGAUUAGCCUGCUCUACAGAGCUAGUUCUAGGAGAGCCAAAGCUAUACAAAGAAACCUUGUCUCAGGGGGAACAAAAAGAUAAAUUUUUCUGUAGCAUCUUCUGGCUUCCAUGAUAUUAAUUUUCCUACAAUGGGCUUCUCUCAUCUGAUAUCAGCCUACUCACAAGCUUCUGUAUGGGCAGGCUCUGGUGCACCUCUACAUGACAACCACAGCCCUUCCUCCAAGGUACUAUGACAUGAAGGUUUUGCCAUAAGGGAAAAGUCAAACUCCCCUGGACUUUGAUAUAUUAUACCUUUCUCUUUUGUAUUACUGUAUAUUAUUGUGUUCUUAUUUCAUAUAUUUCUGAACUCAAACUUUGUUUUAAGCUUCAUUAUCCUCAAUGUACUGUGCUUCAAAGCAUGUAACUUCAAUUUUCAUAAAAAUCUAUUUCUUAC